rnacentral:rRNA from 1 species
GUGGGGAAUAUUGGGCAAUGGGGGCAACCCUGACCCAGCGACGCCGCGUGAGGGAAGACGGCCUUCGGGUUGUAAACCUCUUUUGUACGGGAAGAAGGAUGUGACGGUACCGUGCGAAUAAGUCCCGGCUAACUACGUGCCAGCAGCCGCGGUAAUACGUAGUGGACGAGCGUUGUCCGGAAUUACUGGGCGUAAAGGGCGCGCAGGCUGUAGAUCAAGUCAGCUGUGAAAUGUCUGGGCUUAACCCGGGCAUGCGGUUGAAACUGAUGUACUGGAGUGCUGUAGAGGCAAGUGGAAUUCCCAGUGUAGCGGUGAAAUGCGUAGAUAUUGGGAAGAACACCGGUGGCGAAGGCGACUUGCUGGGCAGCAACUGACGCUGAGGCGCGAAAGCCAGGGGAGCAAACGGGAUUAGAAACCCGGGUAGUCC